UAAGGACAAGGAAUGAGAAUACCCAGG
rnacentral:piRNA from 1 species